CCUAUAUUUGUGUUCCUACAGAUUCGUGUCUGGAGAGCACAGCAGAGUCCCGCAACAAGGAGCCGGAAGACGCUGCAGGUACCCCCUAUGAAUUCACGGCAGUCAUUCCGUUUGAUGACGGAGACGGAGACACCACAUCCACCUCCGAGAGCACCCUGCUGGAAAAUGAAAGCGGUAUGUAUUCUGGAGUCACUCUCUCGGUAAGGAGAAAUCCGGAAGAUGAGAAGGGUGGGACUUUCUUGCAGUCUUACUGUGCAGAGCCACCCUGAUUUCAGCUGCUGUGGGUCUGACAAUAAGGACACUGCCUUCCAAAGGGCUUCUCCAGGAAAAGACCUAUGGUCACAAGGUAGCACCCCGGAAGCAGCUGUACUGCCAUUAGCUGGUGAGGUUUGUGUGCAGGGAGGUAGGUGUGUCUACAUGUAAAUCCAUGUGAUGUGACUCUCAGUGCUCGUGUGUGUGUGUGUGUGUGUGGUGUGAACGCACACGCACGCAUGUGUUUGUUGUACCGUGUGUUUACUGGGAUGUAUUUAGACUUCCCUAAGCAUUCCUCUUAAUUGUGUCACCUAUCUCACUACAAAAUCCCAUCCCCAUUACAUCAUGAAGGAUUAUGCGUAUUAAAACGAAUCAAAAAAUAGAAUGUAAAUCUGUUCCUUGUAUCCCCAACACAUGUGCAUGGACAAGGGAAAAAAUAUCUCACAUCGUCCAGUUUCUGUCACAGACCCGUGACAAUAGGACCUCACCUCCUGGUAGGACUCGUCGCACGAUUGGUCAUGGUAUGUCACUCUUGCCACUUUUCUGCACACAGCCCUCUUCAUCUGAGGCUCCACAAUGAGUCUUCCCAACAUCACUCUAGUCACAGAGUGCUAGGGCAGGGCUUCUUCCCUCUGCAGGUGGCUUCGUGUUGAGCCACGUGCCAAUUCCGAUCUGGUUUGACUGGAGAAAUCAGGGACUGCUAAGACUAGGCAGGGAGAUUCACUCCUUCUUUCUCCACCUUCUUGGAAUGGGAUCUUAGAGUUCUCUGCAGAUACUGCUGCUGAGACUCAACCUGUCUUUCUCAGAUGAAAAUCGCAGCACCCACCACUGACUGUCGUUGCAGUUCUGUGUGCUGGGCAAAAAGUGUAAUUCAAAGAGACCAACAAGGUCUUUGUCAGAGACUGAGCGUCAGUGUGAGCACUUGGCUCUCUUCCAAGGAGCACCACAGUCUAUGUUGGGUACUCCAAGGUGUGGAAUUAGCACCUCAGCAGUGUGAAGGGAGAAUCCACUCUCACCUUCCUGUCCAUCUGCCAUUGCAAAGAGGGCUGGAUGACGUCUGAAGGCUUUUGCAAGGAAAC